CAGAUCGGAAGCGAGAAUGUUGACAUGAGUAGCGACAAACAGGGUGAGAAACCCUGUCGCCGAAAGUCCAAGGGUUCCUGCUUAAAGCUAAUCUGAGCAGGGUAAGCCGGCCCCUAAGGCGAGGCCGAAAGGCGUAGUCGAUGGGAACCAGGUUAAUAUUCCUGGGCCAGUGGGAUGUGACGGAUCGCAGAUGUAGUUUGCCCUUAUCGGAUUGGGUGGGCUGCUGAGCGGUUCCUGGAAAUAGCCCCACAUCAGACCGUACCCUAAACCGACACCGGUGGACUGGUAGAGUAUACCAAGGCGCUUGAGAGAACCACGUUAAAGGAACUCGGCAAAAUGCCUCCGUAAGUUCGCGAGAAGGAGGCCCCAUAUGUGCGCAAGCAUGUGUGGGGGGCACAAACUAGGGGGUGGCGACUGUUUACUUAAAACACAGGGCUGUGCGAAGCCGUAAGGCGACGUAUACAGUCUGACGCCUGCCCGGUGCUGGAAGAUUAAGAGGAGGGGUGCAAGCUCUGAAUUGAAGUCCCAGUAAACGGCGGCCGUAACGAUAACGGUCCUAAGGUAGCGAAAUUCCUUGUCGGGUAAGUUCCGACCUGCACGAAUGGCGUAACGAUCUCCCCGCUGUCUCUAACGUGGACUCAGCGAAAUUGAACUGUCUGUCAAGAUGCAGACUACCCGCGGUUAGACGGAAAGACCCCAUGAACCUUUACUCCAGCUUUGCAUUGGCAACAGGACUGUGAUGUGCAGGAUAGGUGGUAGGCAUUGAAGCGGGGACGCCAGUCUUCGUGGAGCCUCCCUUGAGAUACCACCCUUCGCCGUCUUGUUGUCUAACCGCGACCCGUUAUCCGGGCCCGGGACCGUGCAUGGUGGGGAGUUUGACUGGGGCGGUCGCCUCCCAAAUUGUAACGGAGGCGCGCGAUGGUUGGCUCAGACCGGUCGGAAAUCGGUCGUUGAGUGCAAUGGCAGAAGCCAGCCUGACUGCAAGACUGACAAGUCGAGCAGAGACGAAAGUCGGUCAUAGUGAUCCGGUGGUCCCAAGUGGGAGGGCCAUCGCUCAACGGAUAAAAGGUACUCUGGGGAUAACAGGCUGAUGAUGCCCAAGAGUCCAUAUCGACGGCAUCGUUUGGCACCUCGAUGUCGGCUCAUCUCAUCCUGGGGCUGGAGCAGGUCCCAAGGGUACGGCUGUUCGCCGUUUAAAGAGGUACGUGAGCUGGGUUUAAAACGUCGUGAGACAGUUCGGUCCCUAUCUGCCGUGGGUGCAGGAGACUUGAGAAGAGUUGACCCUAGUACGAGAGGACCGGGUUGAACGAACCACUGGUGGACCAGUUAUCGUGCCAACGGUAGUGCUGGGUAGCUAUGUUCGGACAGGAUAACCGCUGAAGGCAUCUAAGCGGGAAGCCCCCUUCAAAACAAGGUCUCCCUUGAGGGCCGUGGAAGACGACCACGUCGAUAGGCCAGAGGUGUAAGCGCAGCAAUGCGUUCAGCUGACUGGUACUAAUUGCCCGAGAAAAAAAAAAA
rnacentral:rRNA from 1 species